CAUGGCUCAGGAUGAACGCUAGCUACAGGCUUAACACAUGCAAGUCGAUGGGGAAGUGGUGCUUGCACCAUGGUAACCAUGGCGGACGGGUGAGUAACGCGUAAGGAACUUGCCUGCGGGACCGGGAUAACAGCAGGAAACUGCUGACAAGACCGGAUAAGGUCAUUAAGCCGCAUAGCUUAGUGAUGAAAGGAGACGCCUGCGGAGAGUCUUGCGUCCUAUUAGCUAGUUGGAGGGGUAACGGCCCACCAAGGCGAAGAUAGGUAGCCGGCCUGAGAGGGUGGACGGCCACAAGGGGACUGAGAUACGGCCCUUACUCCUACGG
rnacentral:rRNA from 1 species